rnacentral:rRNA from 1 species
GAUGAACGCUGGCGGCGUGCCUAAUACAUGCAAGUCGAGCGAACAGACGAGGAGCUUGCUCCUCUGACGUUAGCGGCGGACGGGUGAGUAACACGUGGAUAACCUACCUAUAAGACUGGGAUAACUUCGGGAAACCGGAGCUAAUACCGGAUAACAUGUUGAACCGCAUGGUUCAACAGUGAAAGACGGUCUUGCUGUCACUUAUAGAUGGAUCCGCGCCGCAUUAGCUAGUUGGUAAGGUAACGGCUUACCAAGGCAACGAUGCGUAGCCGACAUGAGAGGGUGAUCAGCCACACUGGAACUGAGACACGGUCAAGACUACUACGGGAGGCAGCAGUAGGGAAUAUGCCGCAAUGGGCGAAAGCCUGACGGAGCAACGCCGCGUGAGUGAAGAAGGUCUUCGGAUCGUAAAACUCUGUUAUUAGGGAAGAACAAAUGUGUAAGUAAAUAUGCACGUCUUGACGGUACCUAAUCAGAAAGCCACGGCUAACUACGUG